GGUUAAGCGACUAAGCGUACACGGUGGAUGCCCUGGCAGUCAGAGGCGAUGAAGGACGUGCUAAUCUGCGAUAAGCGUCGGUAAGGUGAUAUGAACCGUUAUAACCGGCGAUUUCCGAAUGGGGAAACCCAGUGUGAUUCGUCACACUAUCAUUAACUGAAUCCAUAGGUUAAUGAGGCGAACCGGGGGAACUGAAACAUCUAAGUACCCCGAGGAAAAGAAAUCAACCGAGAUUCCCCCAGUAGCGGCGAGCGAACGGGGAGCAGCCCAGAGCCUGAAUCAGUGUGUGUGUUAGUGGAAGCGUCUGGAAAGGCGUGCGAUACAGGGUGACAGCCCCGUACACAAAAAUGCACAUACUGUGAGCUCGAUGAGUAGGGCGGGACACGUGGUAUCCUGUCUGAAUAUGGGGGGACCAUCCUCCAAGGCUAAAUACUCCUGACUGACCGAUAGUGAACCAGUACCGUGAGGGAAAGGCGAAAAGAACCCCGGCGAGGGGAGUGAAAAAGAACCUGAAACCGUGUACGUACAAGCAGUGGGAGCACAGAGCAAUCUGUGUGACUGCGUACCUUUUGUAUAAUGGGUCAGCGACUUAUAUUCUGUAGCAAGGUUAACCGAAUAGGGGAGCCGAAGGGAAACCGAGUCUUAACUGGGCGUUAAGUUGCAGGGUAUAGACCCGAAACCCGGUGAUCUAGCCAUGGGCAGGUUGAAGGUUGGGUAACACUAACUGGAGGACCGAACCGACUAAUGUUGAAAAAUUAGCGGAUGACUUGUGGCUGGGGGUGAAAGGCCAAUCAAACCGGGAGAUAGCUGGUUCUCCCCGAAAGCUAUUUAGGUAGCGCCUCGUGAAUUCAUCUCCGGGGGUAGAGCACUGUUUCGGCAAGGGGGUCAUCCCGACUUACCAACCCGAUGCAAACUGCGAAUACCGGAGAAUGUUAUCACGGGAGACACACGGCGGGUGCUAACGUCCGUCGUGAAGAGGGAAACAACCCAGACCGCCAGCUAAGGUCCCAAAGUCAUGGUUAAGUGGGAAACGAUGUGGGAAGGCCCAGACAGCCAGGAUGUUGGCUUAGAAGCAGCCAUCAUUUAAAGAAAGCGUAAUAGCUCACUGGUCGAGUCGGCCUGCGCGGAAGAUGUAACGGGGCUAAACCAUGCACCGAAGCUGCGGCAGCGACGCUGAUGCGUUGUUGGGUAGGGGAGCGUUCUGUAAGCCUGUGAAGGUGUACUGUGAGGUAUGCUGGAGGUAUCAGAAGUGCGAAUGCUGACAUAAGUAACGAUAAAGCGGGUGAAAAGCCCGCUCGCCGGAAGACCAAGGGUUCCUGUCCAACGUUAAUCGGGGCAGGGUGAGUCGACCCCUAAGGCGAGGCCGAAAGGCGUAGUCGAUGGGAAACAGGUUAAUAUUCCUGUACUUGGUGUUACUGCGAAGGGGGACGGAGAAGGCUAUGUUGGCCGGGCGACGGUUGUCCCGGUUUAAGCGUGUAGGCUGGUUUUCCAGGCAAAUCCGGAAAAUCAAGGCUGAGGCGUGAUGACGAGGCACUACGGUGCUGAAGCAACAAAUGCCCUGCUUCCAGGAAAAGCCUCUAAGCAUCAGGUAACAUCAAAUCGUACCCCAAACCGACACAGGUGGUCAGGUAGAGAAUACCAAGGCGCUUGAGAGAACUCGGGUGAAGGAACUAGGCAAAAUGGUGCCGUAACUUCGGGAGAAGGCACGCUGAUAUGUAGGUGAAGUCCCUCGCGGAUGGAGCUGAAAUCAGUCGAAGAUACCAGCUGGCUGCAACUGUUUAUUAAAAACACAGCACUGUGCAAACACGAAAGUGGACGUAUACGGUGUGACGCCUGCCCGGUGCCGGAAGGUUAAUUGAUGGGGUUAGCGCAAGCGAAGCUCUUGAUCGAAGCCCCGGUAAACGGCGGCCGUAACUAUAACGGUCCUAAGGUAGCGAAAUUCCUUGUCGGGUAAGUUCCGACCUGCACGAAUGGCGUAAUGAUGGCCAGGCUGUCUCCACCCGAGACUCAGUGAAAUUGAACUCGCUGUGAAGAUGCAGUGUACCCGCGGCAAGACGGAAAGACCCCGUGAACCUUUACUAUAGCUUGACACUGAACAUUGAGCCUUGAUGUGUAGGAUAGGUGGGAGGCUUGGAAGUGUGGACGCCAGUCUGCAUGGAGCCGACCUUGAAAUACCACCCUUUAAUGUUUGAUGUUCUAACGUUGACCCGUAAUCCGGGUUGCGGACAGUGUCUGGUGGGUAGUUUGACUGGGGCGGUCUCCUCCUAAAGAGUAACGGAGGAGCACGAAGGUUGGCUAAUCCUGGUCGGACAUCAGGAGGUUAGUGCAAUGGCAUAAGCCAGCUUGACUGCGAGCGUGACGGCGCGAGCAGGUGCGAAAGCAGGUCAUAGUGAUCCGGUGGUUCUGAAUGGAAGGGCCAUCGCUCAACGGAUAAAAGGUACUCCGGGGAUAACAGGCUGAUACCGCCCAAGAGUUCAUAUCGACGGCGGUGUUUGGCACCUCGAUGUCGGCUCAUCACAUCCUGGGGCUGAAGUAGGUCCCAAGGGUAUGGCUGUUCGCCAUUUAAAGUGGUACGCGAGCUGGGUUUAGAACGUCGUGAGACAGUUCGGUCCCUAUCUGCCGUGGGCGCUGGAGAACUGAGGGGGCUGCUCCUAGUACGAGAGGACCGGAGUGGACGCAUCACUGGUGUUCGGGUUGUCAUGCCAAUGGCACUGCCCGGUAGCUAAAUGCGGAAGAGAUAAGUGCUGAAAGCAUCUAAGCACGAAACUUGCCCCGAGAUGAGUUCUCCCUGACUCCUUGAGAGUCCUGAAGGAACGUUGAAGACGACGACGUUGAUAGGCCGGGUGUGUAAGCGCAGCGAUGCGUUGAGCUAACCGGUACUAAUGAACCGUGAGGCUUAACCUU
rnacentral:rRNA from 1 species